UCAAUCUAGGCUUCUCAGAGCUCCAAAAGAUCUUCUCCUUCUUUCUCUCUCCCAGUUGUUUCUGCAUCUCUCUCUCACCAUAAACCAUUAUUUUUCCCAUCUAAAUAUUUUCAUAAAACACCAAAAUUUCCCAUUUUUUCACCUACAUCAUUUCACCUCCUCAAUCACCAGUUUUUCUUUCUAAAAAUAUUGCUUCUGCACAAACACAAGGACCCAGGGAAUGGUGAAUUACGAUAUUUUAAUUCUUGAUUGGUAGCAUGUUUUGGCUGGAAUUUGGAUAGUUGCUUUUUAUUGUCAGAGGCAGAGGAAAUAAUAGCUUGCAAGUAGAUAGAUGUCUUCUUCUUCUUCGAUGGCUGCUCCCAAUGAAAGGUGGAUUGACCGUCUUCAGUUCUCCUCAUUGUUCUGGCCUCCUCCACCAGAUGGUCAACAAAGAAAGGAUCAAAUUGCUGCAUAUGUUGAGUACUUCAUCCAGUUUACAUCAGAACAAUUUGCUGAUGAUAUUGCUGAGUUGAUCCGUAACCGUUACCCAUCCAAGGAGAUUCUUCUCUUUGACGAAGUUUUGGCAACAUUUGUUCUUCAUCAUCCUGAGCAUGGCCAUGCAGUUGUACUUCCAAUUAUUUCAUGUAUUAUUGAUGGUACAGUAGCCUAUGAUAAGGCUAGUCCUCCAUUUGCUUCUUUCAUAUCUUCAGUGUGCCCAAAAAUUGAGAAUGAAUACUCAGAGCAAUGGGCUCUUGCAUGUGGUGAAAUUUUGCGUAUUUUAACCCAUUACAAUCGCCCAGUUUACAAAAAGGAAAAACAACAUGGUGAAACUGAAAGAAGCAGUAGUGGCAGUCAUGCCACAACUAGUGAAUCUGUUGAUGGGAAAUCUGAGCAUAAUUCUUUGACACAGCAAGAGAAGAAACCUAUAAGGCCAUUGUCCCCCUGGAUUACUGAUAUAUUGUUGGCUUCACCAGUAGGCAUUAGAAGUGACUAUUUUCGGUGGUGUAGUGGUGUUAUGGGUAAAUAUGCUGCGGGAGAACUCAAGCCCCCAUCAACUGCUUCUUCCCGUGGUUCUGGGAAGCAUCCUCAACUUGUUCCUUCAACUCCAAGAUGGGCUGUUGCCAAUGGUGCUGGAGUUAUAUUAAGUGUUUGCGAUGAUGAAGUUGCACGCAAUGAGACUGCUACUUUAACAGCAGCUGCUGUCCCUGCGCUUUUGCUUCCUCCUCCAACAACAGCUCUGGAUGAGCAUCUUGUUGCUGGAUUACCAGCUCUGGAACCAUAUGCUCGUUUAUUUCAUAGAUAUUAUGCAAUUGCUACUCCAAGUGCUACACAAAGACUUCUUCUUGGACUUCUAGAAGCACCUCCAUCCUGGGCUCCAGAUGCACUUGAUGCUGCUGUGCAGCUUGUAGAACUUCUUCGGGCUGCUGAAGAUUAUGCAUCUGGCAUAAGGCUUCCUAGAAAUUGGAUGCAUUUGCAUUUCUUGCGUGCAAUAGGGACUGCGAUGUCCAUGAGAGCUGGUAUAGCUGCGGAUGCUGCAGCUGCUCUGCUUUUUCGUAUACUUUCACAGCCUGCAUUACUUUUUCCUCCUCUCAGACAAGUUGAUGGAGUUGAAGUUCAACAUGAACCUUUGGGUGGUUAUAUUUCUUCCUAUAAAAAACAGAUAGAAGUUCCUGCAGCUGAAGCCUCUAUUGAGGCUACUGCCCAAGGAAUUGCAUCAAUGCUUUGUGCCCAUGGUCCAGAGGUUGAAUGGAGAAUUUGCACCAUUUGGGAAGCUGCUUAUGGCCUGAUUCCUACAAGUUCCUCAGCUGUUGAUCUUCCAGAAAUUAUAGUUGCAACCCCACUACAACCUCCCAUACUGUCAUGGAAUUUGUACAUACCCUUACUUAAGGUCCUUGAGUAUCUUCCUCGUGGAAGCCCAUCAGAAGCAUGUCUUAUGAAAAUAUUUGCUGCUACUGUGGAAGCUAUUCUUCAGAGGACAUUUCCACCUGAGUCCACUCGAGAACAGAACAGAAAAUCAAAAUACCUAUUUGGCAUUGGCUCUGCCUCUAAAAACCUUGCCGUGGCAGAACUUCGUACUAUGGUUCAUUCCCUCUUUUUAGAAUCAUGUGCAUCUGUAGAGCUUGCUUCACGCUUGCUUUUUGUUGUCUUAACUGUCUGUGUCAGUCAUGAAGCUCAAUUCUGUGGAAGCAAGAGGCCAAGAGGCGAAGAUAACUAUUCAGCUGAGGAAACCAUUGAGGACUUACAAGCAACAUCUGAAAACCGGAGAGAAUCAACAAAUAGGAAAAUGAAGAAGCAAGGUCCUGUAGCAGCGUUUGAUUCUUAUGUUCUGGCUGCUGUUUGUGCUCUUGCCUGUGAGCUUCAGUUGUUCCCUUUGAUUUCACGGGGGAAUAAUCAUUUAGCCUCCAAUAAUGUGCAAGAUAUAGCCAAACCUGUUAGACUAAAUGGAUCUUCCCAUGAGUUGCGGAAUGGCUUGGAUUCUGCCAUACGUCAUACUCAUAGAAUUUUAGCAAUUUUAGAGGCACUAUUUUCGUUAAAGCCAUCUUCUGUUGGUACGCCUUGGAGUUACAGCUCAAAUGAGAUAGUUGCAGCAGCUAUGGUUGCAGCACAUGUUUCUGAACUAUUUAGGAGGUCAAAAGCUUGCAUGCAUGCUCUGUCUGUUCUGAUUCGUUGCAAAUGGGACAAUGAAAUUCACUCCAGGGCGUCAUCACUGUAUAAUCUCAUAGAUAUUCACAGCAAAGCUGUUGCAUCUAUAGUGAACAAGGCAGAGCCAUUAGAAGCAACCUUAAUUCAUGCACCCAUUUGGAAGGAUUCCCUUGUUUGUUUUGAUGGAAAAGGGCAAAAUCAGUGUGAAAGUAGUAGCUGCUUUGACCCUCUGCAGACAUCUAGUGUACCUUCAGAAGAUUCAUUCCCAUCAAAACUUAACCAUAAUUCUGAAAAAAAACCAAAACCAUGCUCAAAUGAAACAUCAGGUUGUACCUUGGGUAAAGGUGUCACAGGUUUCUCAUUGGAUGCUUCUGAUCUAGCCAACUUCCUCACAAUGGACAGGCACAUCGGAUUGAAUUGCAAUACGCAAAUAUUUCUGAGAUCCAUGCUGACAGAGAAACAAGAGUUGUGUUUCUCUGUAGUUUCACUGCUAUGGCACAAGUUGAUUGCAUCUCCUGAAACUCAACCUUGUGCAGAAAGCACUUCUGCCCAACAAGGCUGGAGACAGGUUGUUGAUGCAUUAUGCAAUGUUGUAUCAGCCUCACCAACAAAAGCAGCUACAGCAGUUGUUCUUCAGGCGGAAAGGGAAUUACAGCCCUGGAUUGCCAAGGAUGAUGAUUCAGGUCAGAAGAUGUGGAGAAUCAAUCAGCGGAUUGUAAAAUUGAUCGUAGAACUUAUGAGGAAUCAUGAGAGUGCAGAAUCAUUGGUAAUUGUGGCAAGUUCAUCAGAUUUACUACUGCGAGCCACGGAUGGGAUGCUGGUUGAUGGAGAAGCUUGCACUUUACCACAGCUGGAGUUAUUGGAAGCAACAGCUAGAGCAGUUCAGCCAGUGCUCGAGUUUGGAGAAUCAGGAUUGGCUGUGGCAGAUGGCCUUUCAAACCUUUUAAAGUGUCGCCUCUCUGCUACAAUUAGGUGUCUUUCUCAUCCAAGCGCACAUGUCCGAGCUCUGAGUAUAUCGGUUCUUCGUGAUAUUUUGCAUACCGGUUCGAUCAGAUGUAGUCCUAAACCUCGGAAAAUAAAUGGCACCCACAACCCCUCUUAUCAAUACUUCAAUUUGGAUGUCAUUGACUGGCAAGCUGACAUAGAAAAGUGCUUGACUUGGGAAGCUCACAGCCGACUUUCAAACGGAUUGUCUAUUAACUUUCUUGAUACUGCUGCCAAAGAAUUAGACUGUACUAUUUCCAUGUGAAAUUAAAUCAAACACUGGAACCAACCGUCUUAGUAUGUGACAAUUUUUUACUAGACUUAUAGAAAAAAGACGUUAUUGAUGCUUAUGGAACUAACGGGUUUGCGAAUAAGCAACAUCAUUAUGCUAUUGCUAGUCCUGUUAAAAGAGUCGAAGUUAUAAUUCUAGUAUGUUUAUAGAAAUCUCAUUUUGUAUCAUGCAUGUAUUGUACCUAAACUAAGUUUCAACCUGAACUUUGCUCGUGACUCUGCUCUCAUAGAACAGACUUGUACAGUAACGAAAGACGAGGCUGUAACCAGAUAUUUUUGUUCAUCAUUGUCUCAUUUUGUGUUAUGUAAUGAAACUCAGUUCUAAUUGUUUGGACUAAUGCAUGUUCAGUUGGGCUUGGGCUUUGUUUUUCUAA